UACGUAGGGGGGCAAGCGUUGUCCGGAUUUAUUGGGCGUAAAGAGCGUGUAGGCGGCCAUACAGGUCCGUUGUGAAAACUGGAGGCUUAACCUCCAGACGUCGAUGGAAACCGUAUGGCUAGAGUCCGGAAGAGGAGAGUGGAAUUCCCGGUGUAGCGGUGAAAUGCGCAGAUAUCGGGAAGAACACCCGUGGCGAAGGCGGCUCUCUGGGACGGUACUGACGCUGAGGAGCGAAAGCGUGGGGAGCGAACAGG
rnacentral:rRNA from 1 species